rnacentral:lncRNA from 1 species
UUUUCAUUGUAUUGGUAUUUACCUGCCCCUCAUCCUCUCCCACGUUUGCUUUUCCAGGGCAGCCUCUUCAACACGGCUUCAGAAGCCGGGCAAAUUAAAAUAACGAGCCCGCUCCCCCGCGAGUUGCGGGGGCAGAGCUGCUGGCCUGGCCCCGGUCGGACUCCCACCGGCCUCCUUCGGGGGUUCCGAGUCUCUCUCUUUUCCUGCCCUCGGAUUACAUGACGUUAUUAGACAGUAUGUUUAAAAAUCUUAUUUAAAGAAAUGAGACCCCAUCUGCCUGAAAACCGAGACCAAGCCCGUUUGGUACAACCACAACGCGGAGCUCUCCGGCGCCAGGAGGAGGCCCGAGGAGGCCCCGAGGUUCGCAGCCCCAGGCCCCGAGCCCACCUGGGACACCUCUCCCUGAGGAUCCAGGGCGAGUGACCAAACAGCAAGUACAAUUCUGAGAACUGUGGAACUUCAUCCUUUCAUGUUAAGAUUCUCCUGUGUUUUCUUGAUGGAAUUGUGUAUUUAAAUCUUGCAAUCACCGCUGGGAAGCGAGCUGUAUCAUCUUGAGAAAUCAGACCACAGAGCUGGGCCUGCAGCUGGCAGGCUGGGUCAUCUUUAAUCGCUUAACCCUUCAUAUCAAAGGAUGGGUCGUAGCAGCAGAUUCCUCCUCAAGAAUUUGCCAUGGCAGAUUUUCUCAAGGAAGAUCUGGGAGUUAAAAUGAAGCAGAGUGUGUACAGCAAAAACCUUGCCUUGAAGGCAGAGUAUUUAUAUUUCUACCAAACUCCCAAGAAGCUGACCUUCGAAUCUGCACUGUCAUUGCUAAGGUCUUUUCCUGCCCACCCAGUGGCUAUGCCAAGUGGCUGGACUGGCCAUCACCAUGGUGCCUGAGAGUGAGAAUGACUGCUUCCUUAACAUAUUUGAAGAGCUAACCAGUCACUGGCUGGGAACAUUGGGAUGAGGAAGACCUAGUGUGAAUAUGAUCCAAAGCUGCCCAUGGAGUGAAUGAGAACAGAGGCCUGGAGGGACUGACUUACCUCAUGGAAAGUUCCAGAAGGAGAUUCAGGUCUGUGAGUAAAGUGCAGUGCCCCACUGGUACAAUAAUCACAGGACACAUUCCAGCAAUCUGGGCUGAAUCAGCAAUGGAGUACUGGGACAGAUAGCACUUAAUGAAUACAGAUGGAAAGUGUGUCUAAAGACACAGGAAGAGCUGAUAGCUCGGGACCUCCCCUUUGGUAUCUAGAAGGGUAAUUCCACGAAUCAAGAAGCACCUUGCCCUAGGAGGGGCUGGGCUAGCUUUCUUCCUCCCUUCCUCCUUUACUCCUUCAUCAGAUAACAUCAAAUAGCAACCAAUAGCUCUGCUGGGUCCUGGGGCAAUCUGGUGAACAAACAGACAAAAUUCUUGGAGCUCAGAGGGGAGCAAACUAAAAAUAACA